UUAAUUUGAGAGUUUGAUCCUGGCUCAGGACGAACGCUGGCGGCGUGCCUAAUACAUGCAAGUCGAGCGAGCUGAAUUCAAAGAUCCCUUCGGGGUGAUUUGUUGGACGCUAGCGGCGGAUGGGUGAGUAACACGUGGGCAAUCUGCCCUAAAGACUGGGAUACCACUUGGAAACAGGUGCUAAUACCGGAUAACAACAUGAAUCGCAUGAUUCAAGUUUGAAAGGCGGCGUAAGCUGUCACUUUAGGAUGAGCCCGCGGCGCAUUAGCUAGUUGGUGGGGUAAAGGCCUACCAAGGCAAUGAUGCGUAGCCGAGUUGAGAGACUGAUCGGCCACAUUGGGACUGAGACACGGCCCAAACUCCUACGGGAGGCAGCAGUAGGGAAUCUUCCACAAUGGACGCAAGUCUGAUGGAGCAACGCCGCGUGAGUGAAGAAGGUUUUCGGA
rnacentral:rRNA from 1 species